rnacentral:lncRNA from 1 species
CAGCCAGUUCGCUCUGUCUCGAGGCUUCAGAGGAACACGAACUUCUCUGAUGGAAGAGCCUUGUUCUAGAAGGGAGUGAAGCCUAGGUCUUUCCUGAGCACACAGAAGAUCAAGACCACACUCACUGACUUCUCAUAGUCAAGCAAUUUUGGCCAAUUAAAUGUCAGUUGGAAACUCCUGUGUCAGCUUCUCUGUGGCGGUGAGAAGUCCCUGUGUGACAUCCCAACUCUCCCCUCACCUGCGUUGGCAACCAAGAAAGCCUUGUGUUGGAG